AGCAGCCGCGGUAAUUCCAGCUCCAAUAGCGUAUAUUAAAGUUGUUGCAGUUAAAAAGCUCGUAGUUGAAUUUCGGGAUCAAUAUAUCGGUCGUGCCAUUGGUACGUACUGGUAUCAUUGGUUUCUCCUUUCUGACGAACCAUGAUGUCAUUAAUUUGGUGUUAUGGGAAGUUAGGACUGUUACUUUGAAAAAAAUUAGAGUGUUUAAAGCAGGCUUUAGCUUGAAUACAUUAGCAUGGAAUAAUGAAAUAGGACGUUCGAACCUAUUUUGUUGGUUUCUAGGAUCAACGUAAUGAUUAAUAGGGAUAGUUGGGGGCAUUAGUAUUCAAUUGUCAGAGGUGAAAUUCUUGGAUUUAUUGAAGACUAACUACUGCGAAAGCAUUUGCCAAGGAUGUUUUCAUUAAUCAAGAACGAAAGUUAGGGGAUCGAAGACGAUCAGAUACCGUCGUAGUCUUAACCAUAAACUAUGCCGACUAGGGAUCGGAUGAUGUUAAUUUUUUUAAUGACUCAUUCGGCGCCU
rnacentral:rRNA from 1 species